GACAGUUCAUUUUCUACCAUAUGGAGUGAACCACCCCUCUCAGAGUGUUUCCUUCAACAACCUAAGGUUCUCGUCCGGGCCGUGCCCGAACUUUAAGUUAUUAAAUGGUUAAGAAGGACCCAACAAAUCGAGUGACUGCCUUUUUUGAGUGGCUGUGGUUUGAAUAUCUCAUAUUUACUGCACUGUACAUGCUUGGAAGUCGGGAGAGGAUAGUCUUUACUAGUUGUUUAGUUGCUUUCCUCGCCACGGCGAGCUAUUCGAGCUACGUGUUCCUUCCUCAUUAUCUCGGCUCUCUAUUCCAUUAUCUGGGUUACUCUGCUGUCCAGAAUUGGGAGUCAGAAAACCAUUCAUAAAAGUACAAUUCAUCCUACCUUUUCACAUCCAAAAUGGGCUCAAAGUCUGUCACUACAGAGAUUGAAAAGAGAGAAGAAGAAAUUAAGCAAUUUUAUCAUCGGAUAGAGACUGUAGAGAAAGCUCUAAGGCUCCGAGAACUCACCCCUGAUCAAAGAACUGAAUUUGAGAAGGAGCUUGAUCUGUUAAAAACUGUGUUGAAAAAUAAUGAAGAGCAGCUGAAAUCUCUUCAAAAGGAAAACUACAAAACAGGCUUCAUUGCAAUGGCUCUCAUCUUUAUUUGCUUUUUAGUUUAUGGUUUACAAGUCAUGUUUUGGAAUAAAUCUUCACAUUAAUGCA